rnacentral:rRNA from 1 species
UGGGGAAUAUUGGACAAUGGGCGGAAGCCUGAUCCAGCCAUGCCGCGUGUGUGAAGAAGGCCUUUUGGUUGUAAAGCACUUUAAGCGAGGAGGAGGCUACUUGGAUUAAUACUCUAGGAUAGUGGACGUUACUCGCAGAAUAAGCACCGGCUAACUCUGUGCCAGCAGCCGCGGUAAUACAGAGGGUGCGAGCGUUAAUCGGAUUUACUGGGCGUAAAGCGUGCGUAGGCGGCUUCUUAAGUCGGAUGUGAAAGCCCUGAGCUUAACUUAGGAAUUGCAUUCGAUACUGGGAAGCUAGAGUAUGGGAGAGGAUGGUAGAAUUCCAGGUGUAGCGGUGAAAUGCGUAGAGAUCUGGAGGAAUACCGAUGGCGAAGGCAGCCAUCUGGCCUAAUACUGACGCUGAGGUACGAAAGCAUGGGGAGCAAACAGG